rnacentral:misc_RNA from 1 species
GAUGAAGAACGUAGCGAAAUGCGAUAAGUAAUGUGAAUUGCAGAAUUCAGUGAAUCAUCGAAUCUUUGAACGCACAUUGCGCCCCCUGGUAUUCCGGGGGGCAUGCCUGUCCGAGCGUCAUUAUAACCCUCAAGCUCAGCUUGGUGUUGGGCCCCGCCGCCCCGGCGGGCCCUAAAGUCAGUGGCGGUGCCGUCCGGCUCCGAGCGUAGUAAUUCUUCUCGCUCUGGAGGUCCGGUCGUGUGCUCGCCAGCAACCCCCAAUUUUUUUCAGGUUGACCUCGGAUCAGGUAGGGAUACCCGCUGAACUUAAGCAUAUCAAUAAGCGGAGGA